rnacentral:lncRNA from 1 species
UAUUUAUUGAUGUAAAACAGAUGGUGGUAUUCAAAACUAGCUAGCUUUGAAUGAGGGUUGUCUUUCAUAUUAUCAAAUCAAGAAACAUUGAAGUCCUUCAAAGCUUUCCUUGUGGAUCCAGCUUAUGAAAUCUAGGGUUAAACUCUUAAUUGCUCUUUAUGCAUGUUAACCCUAUGUAUAGGCACUACUCUUUCUUUGUAAACCGGUUUUGAAGGGUCAUUUUACUCAUAUAGUAGAAAUAUAUCCUAUGUGUAUAUAUUUAUGGAGGUGGAACAUCCUAAUAUAACUUGAAUUUCACAUGUUAAACGAUCCAAUUAUAGAGGAAGCCAGACUCACAUGCAUGUAAUGAAGGAAUAAUAAGGUUGGUAGCUCAUCAAUAUGUGGUACUGGAUUCGAUCAUGCAUAAUCCAUGUCAUAAUGCCACGCAAUACAAUUGAUUUACAUGCAUAAUGUCUCAGUUCUAACUACUGCAUGUGAGAUGUUGAAAGAUAAUAACAAAGAAUCUGACACUAGAUAUCAUAAACUCUCUCCCAUCAAAUCCUAAAGAUCCGGAGAUUCGGACUCUUAAAAUUUGAUCCAACGGCUACAAGUAUUAUAACUUUUAGAGAGGCCCCCUGUUUGUAACCGUUUGAUCAAAUUUCAAGGGUCCGGAUCUCCAGAUCCUUAGGAUCUGGUGGGAGAGAGCCGGAGAGGAUCUCUUCCCAUCAUAAACAUCUCAAAGAGAACGGUCAGUCAGUGAGAAGUGGAAGUAGUGACUAGUAGGUGCAUGCUAUAACAACAUCUGUGGUCUGCUUACUGUCCAUAUUCCUGGUCCUUCCUCCCUCAAUUCUUACUAUAUAUCUUCGGAAAUUACAGAAAGACAAAUGGAAGUGGCCACUUUGCUUAAUUAUUAGCUUCCUUGCUCUUUUUUGCUUAUUUUACUUGCCCUUUUAUGAUUCUCAUCCAUUAUUCAUAUAUAAUCUUUACUUAAUUAAAAGUAAUAAUAUUGCUAGUUAAACACACAAAAGUUAUCUCAUUAUUAACACACUCUCUGAUAAUCAAGAGGGUGUUUGCAGUGGGUGUCAGCUAUGUGUGUCUAAGUAGCAAAUAGAAAUAUGAAUAGCUUGAGCAACAUUUUCAACUCUUCGUUUUCUGAUUUUCACAUACAUGACGCUAGACAAGCAAAUAUUCACAUCGGUACCUAUGUAGAAUGGGAUUUUAAGUACGCGAAAAGAAGAUAGUUUUUGCUUCCAUUUUUCCUCCAUUUUUCUCUAUAUGGAAGUUGUCCAGGACAACUUUCCAGACUUGGCCCAUGAUGAAGGUGUGGGUAAAAACAUCCAUGAAAUAAUUAUUGCAGAAUACUGAACACAGGUACGUGAAGAAAGCUUUGGUGCUUGGAAGAAAAUAUGAUUGGUGAUAAAAAGAUCAAACUAGCCUGGCCUUAACAAAAAUAAGCACUUUCGAAAGCAUUCUUUUCGAGGAUAAGAAGGUAGUCUCGUAGAAAUAAGAAAUGUUUUGGGUGCUAUUCAUUUUAGGUGAGGGAAGUUUUGUUUGUAAGAAAAAAUUACCAACAAAUUUCCCUUUGGUGCCCAUCAUAAUUAGCUUUCAGUUCUUCGCUUUUUUUAGUCUUCUUCUUGCAAUCUCAAUCUUUGAUUCUCAAGCACAAACUCUUAGUUCUUUUGGUGGUACGGGUCAAAGCAAAACAAAUUAAGAAUUUUGGUCCGUCACAUAUCAAUGAUUUGAACUACUAUAGCACCUGGCUGGCUAGGUCGAUCGAGCCAUGCACUAUGAAAAUUGUUAGGUUAAGUCUGAAAUCACCAACCUUUAUUUGUGACAGUAAGUAUUGUUGGAAAUUUGAGUAGUUUGAGUAGAAAUUUCUUUGUCCCACAUUGGCUAUUCACAAAAGAUUUUAUCACUUUAUAAGACUUUGUCCUUUAUAGAAAGUGAUUAGAGUAAAUAGGCAUGGAGAAUAAAAUUGGGCUCACCUUUGGGGUUGGGCUUUGAGGUGCGGUGCACUAAUUAAUUGGUAAUUAAUUAUAAUUAAUAUAUAAUUAAUAUUUUCAGAUGGGCCUUGGGUUUAAUUAAUUAUUUUCAUAUUUAAUUUUUUUUACCAACAGACUCAUCCUAUCAGAUGAAGUCUGAAGAGUUCAGAAAGAACAUAGAGCAAAGCACCCAUCUGGAGAAGAUGUCUCCCAAUAGACACAUCUCAUUCUCAUACCUGUUGCGAACAUGCAUCCUUCUAUUAUAUAUACAUCUAUCUGCAUGGCAUUUAGGACACAGAAAAUCAAUAUUAUUCUUCUACAAUCACAAACAUCCUUUCUGAGAGAACCACACAGAAAUUCGCCAGAAGUUAAGUUUUUCGAUGCUGGAAUUCUAACUUGAUCGUUGAAUCCUAGUGAAGCAGACGUCUGUAGAACUACAAGCACUGAGUAUGGACGAAAUUUCUGUUUCAAGGACAUUGCGGUACGCAAGCCUCGAUCUUCAAUUUUUCUAUUUAAAUUUAUUUCCUAGUUCAUACUCUGUUCAAUAAUUUUUAUAUUUGCGUUUAUAGUUUAUUAGCAUAUAUAUAAAUAAAUCACAGAUUGUUGACAUAUAUCCAACAAGUAUACAGAAAUAACGUUAACAUUGUAAAUUACCAAUUCAUAAAUAAAAAGUGCCCAAGUCAGACCACAACGGGUAUCUUGGUGUUAUGGUGGUAUGGUCUAGAGCACUCUACAUAUAUUCACAAGAUAAAGUUCUAGACCAUCUUUCGUUAACUUUUCUUAACUGAAAUUUCAACAAGUAUAUUCAAAUGUUAUUACAACUUCAAAAUAACUCUUGCAUUACUCAUUUUAUUUUUAUACUUUAUCUCUAUAUGUAAAGCCAACAGCCUAAUUUGAUGAAACAUUCAAAUAUCUCUAAAAUUUCUUCACUUGUAAAGAAGAACAACAGACAACUACCCAAAUAAAAUAAGGCAAAAUCGUACAAUUCACAAAUUUUCAAAAAGUUAGAAAAAGAAAAGAAUUCAAACACGGACGAGAGAAACUCCACCACGUUUGAUGCAAAACAAUUCCUCUCCGACCAACUGCUUCUUCCGUUUUUCAAAUCUCAACUAUCGUUCCGUAGUGUCCCUCAAGCAAUUUCUCUCGUCGAUACUUUUACCUUCCCACUCCAUCUCACCUCUCUCCUUUAUAGUAGCUAACUAGUAAUUCUCCACUUAACUGCCUAAUCUUUUAAUUGCUAUAAAAUGUUGUCUUUCGAGCAUUCUAAAUAGGGAGACCUUGGAUGUAGUACCUAACCACUAAUACUCAUUGAAUAAAACAUUAGUGGUUUUUAAUUUUUGAUCAAGGUCAUUUGACUUUGUACACCUUAACAUAUUAAUAUUAAUAUAUUUCCAUGUCAACAAUAAAAAUUUGAGAUUUUAUGGUAUUUAAAAUCUCACAUC